ACAAAUGACCUAUUUUGGAUCAAAAACGGCGAAUUUCGCCGAAAGGUGACGAGUUUGCACCCCUGUAAACAUGGCUUCAUUUGCAAAGGUGGUUGUGUGUGUCCUCAUUGCUUGUGUCUGUAAUGCAUUCUGUUUUCCGAAGAGAGAUGUGAACUUUAAGGCCUCUGCAGUUGACCGCCAAAGUGAUGAUGUGGUUGUCACCACAACACCCGUUCCCCACAACCAGACCACAUCUGCCCAUACUGAAGCUGGUGGUGGUGCAAGUGAAGAUGCUGUGGCUACUACCCCAGCACCUAAUCCACACAACCAGACAACUUCUGCACAAACUGAAGUUACUGAUGGAGCCAGUGAAGAUGCUGUGGACCGCCAAAGUGAUGACGUGGUUGUCGCCACAACACCCAUUCCCCACAACCAGACCACAUCUGCCAAUACUGAAGCUGGUGAUGGAGCAAGUGAAGAUGCUGUGGAUACCACCCCAACACCAAAUCCCCCAACUACAUCUGACCACACUGCAGCUACCGAUGAUGCAAGUGAGGGUGCUGUGGCUGCCCAAACUGGAACUACUGUAUCCCAUACGACUGAAGUCUGAUUCGACUGCUCCUCUGGUCACAAAGUACCUGAGUCACUGUCUGGACUUUUUGCCUCUACAUGUUGACUGCAAUAAAGGACAGUUUUGUUUUUUGAAUCAAAUGUUGUCUUGCCUUUUUCAAAUUGAGGCCUUGUCCUGUUUUGGUGGUGGAGAUGACUAUGAAGCCUCUUUCCUAACGUAUUUCCUGUAUUGGUUUUACUAUAUGCUUCAUGCAACAAGGCCUUUAACG
ensembl:lncRNA